CUUGCGGCCACAUCACGUUAAAACACCGGUUGCCGUACGAACAACGAAGUUAAGCAAUGUCGAUCCUGGUCAGUACCUAUUUGAGUGACCGGUUGGAAAUAUCAGGUGCUUC